rnacentral:rRNA from 1 species
UACGUAGGGUGCAGGCGUUAAUCGGAAUUACUGGGCGUAAAGCGUGCGCAGGCGGUGAUGUAAGACAGGUGUGAAAUCCCCGGGCUUAACCUGGGAACUGCAUUUGGGACUGCAUCGCUGGAGUGCGGCAGAGGGGGAUGGAAUUCCGCGUGUAGCAGUGAAAUGCGUAGAUAUGCGGAGGAACACCGAUGGCGAAGGCAAUCCCCUGGGCCUGCACUGACGCUCAUGCACGAAAGCGUGGGGAGCGAACAGG